GACGAACGCUGGCGGCAUGCCUAAUACAUGCAAGUCGAGCGGACAGAAGGGAGCUUGCUCCCGAAAGUCAGCGGCGGACGGGUGAGUAACACGUGGGCAACCUGCCCCUUAGAUUGGGAUAACUUCGGGAAACCGAAGCUAAUACCGAAUAAUACAAGGAACCUCCUGGUUCUCUGUUGAAAGAUGGCCUUUGUGCUGUCACUAAGGGAUGGGCCCGCGGCGCAUUAGCUAGUUGGUAAGGUAACGGCUUACCAAGGCGACGAUGCGCAGCCGACCUGAGAGGGUGAUCGGCCACACUGGGACUGGGACACGGCCAAGACUCCUACGGGAGUCAGCAGUAGGGAAUCUUCCGCAAUGGACGAAAGUCUGACGGAGCAAUGCCGCGUGAGUGAGGAAGGCCUUCGGGUCGUAAAGCUCUGUUGUGAGGGAAGAACAAGUACCGGCGUAACUACCGGUACCGUGACGGCACCUCACCAGAAAGCCACGGCUAACUACGUGCCAGCCGCCGCCGUAA
rnacentral:rRNA from 1 species